CCUACGGGAGGCAGCAGUGAGGAAUAUUGGUCAAUGGACGAGAGUCUGAACCAGCCAAGUAGCGUGAAGGAUGACUGCCCUAUGGGUUGUAAACUUCUUUUAUAUGGGAAUAAAAUGUUCCACGUGUGGGAUUUUGUAUGUACCAUAUGAAUUAGGACUGGCUAAAUCCGUGCCAGCAGCCGCGGGAAUACGGAGGAUCCGAGCGUUAUCCGUAUUUAUUGGGUUUAAAGGGAGCGUAGGUGGAUUGUUAAGUCAGUUGGGAAAGUUUGCGGCUCAACCGUAAAAUUGCAGUUGAAACUGGCAGUCUGGAGUACAGUAGAGGUGGGCGGAAUUCGUGGUGUAGCGGUGAAAUGCUUAGAUAUCACGAAGAACUCCGAUUGCGAAGGCAGUUCACUGGACUGCAACUGACACUGAGGCUCGAAAGUGUGGGUAUCAAACAGGAUUAGAUACCCGAGUAGUC
rnacentral:rRNA from 1 species